rnacentral:rRNA from 1 species
GAUGAACGCUGGCGGCGUGCCUAAUACAUGCAAGUCGAGCGAAAAGACGAGGAGCUUGCUCGUCUGACGUUAGCGGCGGACGGGUGAGUAACACGUGGAUAACCUACCUAUAAGACUGGGAUAACUUCGGGAAACCGGAGCUAAUACCGGAUAAUAUAUUGAACCGCAUGGGUCAAUAGUGAAAGACGGUUUUGCUGUAACUUAUAGAUGGAUCCGAGCCGUUGUAGCUAGUUGGGAGGGUAAAGGGUUACGAAGGGAACGAGGCGUUUACGAGGUGAGAGGGUGAUCGCCCGCCUGGGAGCGUGACCGCCGUCAUGGCGCCUGCGGGAGGCACCAGAAUGGAACCGGCGGCAGUGGUCGAAAGCCUUGCGGAGCAACGCCGCGCGAGAGAUGAAGGUCUUCGGAUCGUAAUACUCUGUUAUUAGUUAAGAACAAAUGUGUAAUGAACUAUGCACGGCUUGACGGUACCUAAUCAGAAAGCCACGGCUAACUACGUG